GGCUAUGAUGAUUAUUAUUUGUCGCCCCAGUCCUAAUGGCCUCUAUCCCAUGCGUGGGGGACGCCUUGUGGAUUGACCUUUUUCGCACUCCAGCC
rfam:Cryptococcus dejecticola CBS 10117 unplaced genomic scaffold supercont1.1, whole genome shotgun sequence.